rnacentral:lncRNA from 1 species
UAUCAGAUUGGUCCACAUUCAGGUCUAAAGGGUCCAAAAUUGAACUUCAUUUGAUUUCAUCAAAAAUUGAAUUCUUGAGGUUCUUUGAUAUGCUGAAUCUAACCAUGUAUUUAGAUUUUGGAUAUUGGACCAUAAUAGGUAAUGUCCAAUUCAAAAUUUAAAGUUUUUAAGUUUAAGUUCUUAGAUCACAUUCAUUAUGUGUCAGAAACCUGUGUUGUGUCAACUAUUUAAUCACAAUCCAAAUUCAGAGCUGUAUCAAGCUUGAAUGUUGUGUCUAUACUUGCCCCAAUGUUCAGGGUUCAAACUCUGCGG